GGGUGAGCGCCGGGCCCGCCGGUCAGCCGUCUUCCCCAGCUCCUCCAACAUGCUUUAUUCUGAAAGGUCCAAGCAUCUGCCAAACAGAGGAGGUGGUGGGAAACCUUUCCACUCGGACAAGAAAUGCCAAUAGAAAAUGCCACAGAAGCUCAUUGUAAUGAGGUCCUACCCAUCGGUAAUCUCCACUCCAAGAAAUACAUACUUUCAUCUGCUCCCAAGUUUUCCAAAAGAUUAGUAGCCUCAGUGGUAAAAGGAAGUACCCACAGAUCGUCAUCUCGUUUUUGAGAGCCAUUCAGAAAGAAAGAGACAUACUACAGGCUUGAGACCAGGAACAGAUUGAAUUCAUAAAAAAAAAAAAAGGCACAAGCCAAACUGUUCAUCUCUGGUACAUGAAAAAUUACCACUGUUGUUGUUAAAACCAUAUGUUCUAGGUAAGGGGACAGGUUUUGUAUUCACUCUGACAUUUGUUCUGAGGAAUGUUAAUGUACUUAAUGCUCGUAUGUGCUUAGCAGCCAUUUGCAAAUUUGAAAAGUAACCCAAAGUUCAAAAAAAAAAAAAAAAUGAGUGAGGAGGAUAAAGAAAACUCCUCUGCGAUGUUUCCCGGGGAUCGCUGUGUCUGCACGUGAGAGUAGAAGUGAGGACCUGUGACACUUGUCAUUAUCUCAGAGCUUUAGGUACGGCUUGAAGAGACAAAUCCCUCACCUGAAGCCACGGCUUCCGAUGUUCAUGAAUCAGCAGGAAAAUUCACUUUGGAAGCCAGGAGGAUUUGAAGCAGCUGCUCGAUGAGACAAAGGACCCGGCUGGCCCCCAGACACCCCCGUUCCCUUUCAGUCUUCUACCCUAGCAUGUUUAUACGUCUCAGGGAAGCACAUUUCCUUCAUAAUUGCAACCCUGUGAUCUGCUCUCCCACAGGGCCAAAAGCAAGCAACUGUCACUCUC